AGCAUGGUGGCAUAGUGGUUAGAACACGAGAUUAUUUCUCUGGAGACCAGGGUUUGAAUCUCUGCUCAGCCA